rnacentral:rRNA from 1 species
CGCUGGCGGCGUGCUUAACACAUGCAAGUCGAGCGAAGCAGGUUAGAAUGAGAGCUUCGGCAGGAUUUCUUUCCAUCUUAGUGGCGGACGGGUGAGUAACGUGUGGGCAACCUGCCCUGUACUGGGGAAUAAUCAUUGGAAACGAUGACUAAUACCGCAUGUGGUCCUCGGAAGGCAUCUUCUGAGGAAGAAAGGAUUUAUUCGGUACAGGAUGGGCCCGCAUCUGAUUAGCUAGUUGGUGAGAUAACAGCCCACCAAGGCGACGAUCAGUAGCCGACCUGAGAGGGUGAUCGGCCACAUUGGGACUGAGACACGGCCCAAACUCCUACGGGAGGCAGCAGUGGGGAAUAUUGCACAAUGGGCGAAAGCCUGAUGCAGCAACGCCGCGUGAAGGAUGAAGGGUUUCGGCUCGUAAACUUCUAUCAAUAGGGAAGAAACAAAUGACGGUACCUAAAUAAGAAGCCCCGGCUAACUACGUGCCAGCAGCCGCGGUAAUACGUAGGGGGCAAGCGUUAUCCGGAAUUACUGGGUGUAAAGGGAGCGUAGGCGGCAUGGUAAGCCAGAUGUGAAAGCCUUGGGCUUAACCCGAGGAUUGCAUUUGGAACUAUCAAGCUAGAGUACAGGAGAGGAAAGCGGAAUUCCUAGUGUAGCGGUGAAAUGCGUAGAUAUUAGGAAGAACACCAGUGGCGAAGGCGGCUUUCUGGACUGAAACUGACGCUGAGGCUCGAAAGCGUGGGGAGCAAACAG